rnacentral:lncRNA from 1 species
UACUUAAUCAGUCAACAUUAUACCAUCCCAAUAACUCCAUCCAUCCAUAAUAAAAAAUGCAAAUAUAUCCAAAUAACUUAACCAUCCAAUACUUUACUAACAAAAGUAAUGUAUCUAAGUAGCUAGAGUAGUCAUUUACAAUUUUCAACGAAAAAUGAUACUCUGAAGUAGCUUUAAGUCAAAAGCAAUCCAUCCAUCCAAACUUCCAUCUGUCAAAACGCGGAAUGAAAGCUGAAAAUCGAAGAAAAUGAUGUCCAAGAAGAUGAUGUCUAACAUUUCCUGCUAUAAUAUAAGUUGUAGUCUUGUAGACUAUAGACUUAAGCAUCAAACCAUAUUAUAAACUAGAUAAGAACACUUAUAACGAUGUAUUCCUACACGGACAAUGACUUCAAAAGUAAAGAAAUAUUUGAACAAAAGCAGUUGAAUAAAAUUUUGGAAGGUCAAUCACACGGCGUAAGGACUAUCAUACCUUCUUGACACCACAGAUUUUCUUUGCUCUGUUUUUGCAUUCUUUUAUCUGCUUCCUCNCUACGACAAUAUCUUGAACGCUAGCCAUGCUCUUAUCUGAGGAUCACCUAUGACCUCUGCUCGAACAAAAUAUAUACCAGAUAAGUGAUCACAGUUGCCUCAAUAAGAUACAAGUAAAAAAAUUAACAUAGAAAAGGUCAGAAUUAAUCAAAAAUAUUUUUAAUUGUCACAUACAAUCUUCUAGAAGCUUGUUGAUCAGCUAGACUGAUCUCUGUGAGCUCCAAAAACACGUCGAAAUAUCACAGUUCAUCCUGCUCAUUAAAACUUAACAUAGAUAACCUGAAAAAUAAUUACAAAUAAACACAUCACAAUUCAUAAAGUAACUCCGAAUCAGAACCAGGAUGCUGAACUAAGAACCUAGUUAUGCGGCACAUAACUAAUUCUGCGAAGAACACAUCACAAAACAGAGGAUCAAAGCUAUUGUGCCUCUAUAUCAAACGAACACUCACAGCAUUACGCCGUAACAUCUUACAUCAAUGUUUCGAAUCAUUUUCUUGUUUUCUGAUAACCACAAGGGCAGGAAACAAAAUCUUCAGCGAAAAACCAAAAACUAAUUAAAAAAAUAAUAAUAAUCGAACGUUAAAUGUUCGCAUACAAACAAAAGCAGACCAAAUGUUGUUCCUGUGCUAAUAGGCGAAGCAAAAGCAAGAAAAAUCCCCAUGUUUUGCAACGGAAGACAUGAUAAUAUGUUGUGGUUGAAAUAAUUAAGAAAUAUAGAUGGAUAUAUUACCUAUAUUGAUGGAGAGGAAUGGUAUCCCUAGUCUCCUCCGAGUCGAAGCGAGAAGGAAUUAGGGGUUUGAGGCGGAGGCGGAGGCGGAGGUAGCGAGGGCGGCAAGGAGGUCGAGGCG